rnacentral:rRNA from 1 species
UUUAUAGAGAGUUUGAUCCUGGCUCAGGACGAACGCUGGCGGCGUGCCUAACACAUGCAAGUCGACCGGGACUACUAUGGAAACUCUUCGGAGCGGAAGUUUUAGUUUAGUGGCGAACGGGUGAGUAACGCGUGAGCAACCUGCCUUUCAGAGGGGGACAACGGUUGGA